rnacentral:lncRNA from 1 species
AAUUCCAUUGUCUUUGCUCCUUGUUUGCCUUCUUUGUGGUUUGUUGUGGUAGGAGAUCAUGAUGGGACCUGGCGGACCAGGCGGACCAGGCGGACCUCCUGGCGGACCAGGCGGACCUGGUGGCCCUGGUCCUGGCUGGCUUCCUCUGCCUGGGGGUCCUCCAGGUUGGGGUCCGGGCCCUGGAGGCCCUGGAGGCCCUGGACCGGGAGGACCUUUCUGGGGACCUGGCCCUGGACCUGGGGGAGGCUUCUGGGGACCUGGAGGAGGCUUCUGGGGACCUGGAGGAGGCUUUGGUGGUUUCUUAGGCUCAUGGUGAGUUGUGCUAUAACCUUAGGUAGUAUACUUUGAUGUAGGACUUGUUGAUGCAAGGUCAUUCAGGGAAGUAAUCGCUUUGCGUUCUUUAUGUUUCUUUAGUCUUUGUCAUUCUCCUCUUAACAUUUCUGCUGCAUUUUAGAAACAUUAAGGCAUCUCUUUUCGAAAAAAAAAUACUUGCCUCGCAACUUUCCAUGUCAAGAAUGGUUUAUGUGAUUGUCAUUUAAGAAAUGACUCAGCCAGUGGUGUAGAUCUAUUUCAUAUCAUAAUGUUAUUUUUAUGGACUCUCGUUUCUGAAAUCUCUCUGCUGCUAAUUUGUUUUGUUACUUUUGUCUUUUUGGCAGCUUUUACUUCCUUUGCUGUUGUUGCCUGCUGCAAGAGUGCUGUGGGCCGUUCUUUGGUGGGCCUCCAGGCCCCCCCGGGCCCCCCGGGGGCCCUGGACCACCUGGACCGCCCUUUUGAUUUAAGCAGUCGACAAGAUGGAAGGGGGAUCACAUACAAACAAUAAUUAGAUGGAGAACAAUGAUUUGCUUAGAGCUAUGUUGUGUUCUUUUUCCUUUUUGGGUCGCUGCCUUCUUUUUUUUGUUUGGUAUUUCUCAUCCUGGAAUGCUUGCUGUGGUGUCUACUACCAUUGAGAUUGUCUAAUGUCACAUUAUUAAAGAAACUCCAAACCUUCCAUUCGGAAAGUGUUUGUUUUUUUCACAACAAUAUGGGAAGGUUAAAACAUUUGACAUCCUAAUUUGUUGGUAGUUCUGCAAGUUAUGCUUUAUGGUUCAAGUUUUAUUUGUUUGAGUUUGCACAAGAGUCAAAAAUAAAUUCCUUACAUUUUUUUGCAUGAUUCUGACAUUUAUAUGGUUUCACACUUGUUUGAUCAAACUGCAUGUUUAUCAAAAAUUACAUGAUUACUGAGAGGAAUUUUAAAUCUCCACAUACCUAAACUAGCAGUGUAGUUGAUCAAAAUAUUCAAGCUUGGUUUAAGGCCAGACAAUUAUGGUGCUAUCUUUUUGAGAACAGUACAGGUGGAAGUCCAGCCAAAAAUUAGAGGGAGAGGGGAUUAAAUCCAAAUAUCUUAUAUCGAUGGGAGAAACUUUGCCUGCUCAAUCAGCUAAUCAUGGUGCUAGCAUUUUCAAAGCCCUUGAGGCUUGGCUUCCAGAGGCCUUUUAUAAGAUCUUUUUAUAACUAAAUUCUAGUUACAAACGUGAUAUCAUGAGCUUUAAUUAAGGGCAAAUUAUCUCAACUAGUUUGCAUCCUCUCUACUUUGCAAAGGUUAUUAUCGCAUUUCUCAAAGAUUUAUCAUAUCCAAUUAGGAAGAAAUGACAUUCCCCCAUUCACCUGAUAUCUUUGACUAAUUUGCGUUUCCUAUGAAACUUAUACUUCAGUUACACCAAACAUGAC